GACGAACGCUGGCGGCGUGCUUAACACAUGCAAGUCGAGCGGUAAGGCCCUUUCGGGGGUACACGAGCGGCGAACGGGUGAGUAACACGUGGGUGACCUGCCCUCAGCUCUGGGAUAAGCCCGGGAAACUGGGUCUAAUACCGGAUAUGACUUCAUGACGCAUGUUGUGGAGUGGAAAGCCUUGUGCGGCUGAGGAUGGGCCCGCGGCCUACCAGCUUGUUGGUGGGGNGAUGGCCUACCAAGGCGACGACGGGUAGCCGGCCUGAGAGGGCGACCGGCCACACUGGGACUGAGAUACGGCCCAGACUCCUACGGGAGGCAGCAGUGGGGAAUCUUGCGCAAUGGGCGAAAGCCUGACGCAGCGACGCCGCGUGA
rnacentral:rRNA from 1 species